CCUACGGGAGACAGCAGUGAGGAAUAUUGGUCAAUGGCCGCGAGACUGAACCAGCCAAGUCGCGUGCAGGAUGACGGCCCUAUGGGUUGUAAACUGCUUUUGUCCGGGGGUAAAAGGCGCCACGUGUGACGUUUUGCAAGUACCUCAUGAAUAAGGAUCGGCUAAAUCCGUGCCAGCAGCCGCGGUAAUACGGAGGAUGCGGGCGUUAUCCGGAUUUAUUGGGUUUAAAGGGUGCGUAGGCGGCAUGUUAAGGUCGCCGUGAAAUUCCGGGGCUCAACCCCGGCAUUGCGGCUAAAACUGGCUUGCUUGAGUGAGCGAGACGUAUGCGGAAUGCGUGGUGUAGCGGUGAAAUGCAUAGAUAUCACGCAGAACUCCGAUUGCGAAGGCAGCAUACCGGAGCGCUACUGACGCUGAUGCACGAAGGCGUGGGUAUCGAACAGGAUUAGAUACCCCUGUAGUC
rnacentral:rRNA from 1 species